rnacentral:lncRNA from 1 species
CAGCGCCGUCGUCGUGGUGGAUGUCGUUGCCGCUGCCGCUGCUGCUGACUUCUGGCCGCUGGUGUUGGAUUCCGGUGGAGAUAGACAUUGACCAGUGGCGCUGGUCCGGCCACCGGAGGAUGGAGAGAGACACUCGCCACACACAUGUGCACCCUCAGCGGCUCGGGUCCGGCCGCCUGGAUGGUGCAUGAAUUGGCGUGUGAUUGUGUGCGAGUGUCGGAAUUGGCGUGCCUCUGGACAAGCUGUCCAAAGUUGUCGCACUCGACCAUAAUUAGGCGGCUCUGGUCCGGCCGCCUGCAGGUGAGUGAUUGUUGUAGUUGUUUUGUGUUUGUUUUAUUUUAUUGUAUUUAUUUUAAUUGUUUUCCUCUUUUAUUUUCAGGUUUUUCUGCAGAGGCGCAUCGUCGAUUAGUGGCUGGCCACGCCAUCAACAAAUACACUCUCUAUGGACCAGAGGAGUGUAUGGAAUUGAAGAGAAUGAUGGCGUGACGAAUCGUGGAGGGCGUGGCAUGUUCGCGCUCCUUGUCCAGUGCACGACAAACCUCAUGCGGCUGCUGGUCCGGCCGCCUGCAGGUAAGUACGUGUUUUUUUGUAGUUUGGUGAUUUUUGCAUCUUCUUUUUAUUUAUGUUUAUUUGUUCCAGGUUUCCUUGCAGGACUGCGUCAUUGGUGUUGAUUUGGAUGCUUUUGCUGCUGCUGCUGCUGCUGCUGGUUGGUAAGUAUGUGUUUUUGUUGUUUUAUUUGUAUAUUUUUUUGUAUUUAAU